UACGGGGGGGGCAAGCGUUGUUCGGAAUUACUGGGCGUAAAGGGCCAGUAGGCGGCCAACUAAGUCGGGUGUGAAACCUCCAGGCUCAACCUGGAGACGCCACUCGAUACUGGCGUGACUAGAGUUCGGUAGGGGAUCACGGAAUUCCUGGUGUAGCGGUGAAAUGCGCAGAUAUCAGGAGGAACACCGGUGGCGAAGGCGGUGAUCUGGGCCGACACUGACGCUGUAGAGCGAAAGCGUGGGGAGCGAACAGG
rnacentral:rRNA from 1 species